AUGACGUCACUGAGCACAGCUGAUCCCCCGGUUUCAGAUCAGAGCAGGAGAAUUUUCACCCUGCAAGAGAGAGCCGCCAGCAUGGUUUGCUCUGGUUUGCUGUGGGUAUUUGUGGUUUCCACCUAUCUUGGAUCCAGCAUGGCCCAGAAGGUCACCCAGACUCAACCAGAAAUGUCUGUGCAUGAGGCAGAGACUGUGACCCUGGACUGCACGUUUGACACUAGUGACAGUAAUUAUUAUUUGUUCUGGUACAAGCAGCCUCCCAGCAGGGAGAUGGUUCUCAUUAUUCGCCAAGAAGCUUAUAAGCAAGAGAAUGCAACAAAUAAUCGCUUCUCUGUGAACUUCCAGAAGGCAGACAAAUCCUUCAGUCUCAGGAUCUCAGCCGCCCAGCUGGAGGAUGCUGCGAUGUAUUUGUGUGCUCUCAUGGAGGGCACAGUGACAGGAGCAACAGAGGGAGAUUUACAGAAACCUCAGACCUCAGCAUCUGUGCAGAGGUCGGGGGAAGGGGGAGGGUGA